UACGAAGGGGGCUAGCGUUGUUCGGAAUCACUGGGCGUAAAGGGCGCGUAGGUGGCCAACUAAGUCAGACGUGAAAUCCCUCGGCUUAACCGGGGAACUGCAUCUGAUACUGGAUGGCUUGAGUUUGGGAGAGGGAUGCGGAAUUCCAGGUGUAGCGGUGAAAUGCGUAGAUAUCUGGAGGAACACCGGUGGCGAAGGCGGCAUCCUGGACCAACACUGACACUGAUGAGCGAAAGCCAGGGGAGCAAACGGG
rnacentral:rRNA from 1 species